rnacentral:rRNA from 1 species
GAUGAACGCUGACAGAAUGCUUAACACAUGCAAGUCAACUGUGGCGGACGGGUGAGUAACGCGUAAAGAACUUGCCUCACAGAUAGGGACAACAUUUGGAAACGAAUGCUAAUACCUGAUACUGUGAGAGAGCUUUGCGUCCCAUUAGCUAGUUGGAGAGGUAACGGCUCACCAAGGCGAUGCUGGGUAGCCGGCCUGAGAGGUUGAUCGGCCACAAGGGGACUGGGACACGGCCCUUACUCCUACUGGAGGCAGCAGUGGGGAAUAGUGUACAAUUGACCAAAGUCUGAUCCAGCAAUUCUGUGUGCACGGUAAAGUUUUAGGAAUGUAAAGUGCUUUCAGUUGGGAAGCGGUACCAACAGAAGAAGUGACGGCUAAAUACGUGCCAGCAGCCGCGGUAAUAC